UACGUAGGGAGCAAGCGUUGUCCGGAAUCAUUGGGCGUAAAGCGCGUGUAGGCGGUUACAUAAGUCUGUUGUGAAAGUCGGAGGCUCAACCUUCGAAAGCCGAUGGAUACUGUGUGACUGAGUACGGAAGAGGAGAGUGGAAUUCCUGGUGUAGCGGUGAAAUGCGCAGAGUAUCAGGAGGAACACCAACGGCGAAGGCAGCUGCUCUGGGACGUUACUGACGAGACGCGAAAGCCGUGGGGAGGCAAACAGGAUUGAGAUCCCCAGAGUCC
rnacentral:rRNA from 1 species